rnacentral:rRNA from 1 species
CGUAGGGUGCAAGCGUUGUCCGGAAUUAUUGGGCGUAAAGAGCUCGUAGGCGGUCUGUCGCGUCGGCUGUGAAACUUGGGGCUCAACCCCAAGCCUGCAGUCGAUACGGGCAGACUAGAGUGCGGUAGGGGAGACUGGAAUUCCUGGUGUAGCGGUGAAAUGCGCAGAUAUCAGGAGGAACACCGGUGGCGAAGGCGGGUCUCUGGGCCGUAACUGACGCUGAGGAGCGAAAGCGUGGGGAGCAAACAGGAUU